CAGUGAUGGAAAGAUGAAAAGAACUUUGAAAAGAGAGUGAAAAAGUACGUGAAAUUGUUGAAAGGGAAGGGCUUGAGAUCAGACUUGGUAUUUUGUAUGUUACUUCUUCGGGGGUGGCCUCUACAGUUUACCGGGCCAGCAUCAGUUUGGGCGGUAGGAGAAUUGCGAUGGAAUGUGGCACGGCCUCGGUUGUGUGUUAUAGCCUUCGUAGAUACUGCCAGCCUAGACUGAGGACUGCGGUUUUAUUACCUAGGAUGUUGCAUUAAUGAUCUUAAGUCGC
rnacentral:rRNA from 1 species